UGACAUUUCUUUUCUUGUAGUCCUUUCAAAUCUAUUAUUUUUUAUGUAUAAGUAAUUGUAAAACUUGAAUGUGGAAGAACAUUAAACUCUUGCCUUACAUGAUAAUAAUCAGGUUAUUAUCAUUUACUUAACUUUCAUUGUGGAAAAAGUUAUAUACAUACGGCAAAUAAUUGCUGCACACCCCAAGAGGUAAAGAUCAUGCAAGAACUAAAGCAUUACCAAUUAUGAUGAAGUAAUUGUAAAACUUGAAUGUGGAAGAACAUUAAACUCUUGCCUUACAUGAUAAUAAUCAGGUUUUACAUGGAUUUCAUAUUCACACAUACAAACUUAAACUGUGAUCAGCUUUAGCGAUACCCAUCCUUACGGUCUUGUUCCUCUGCCUCCUUAUUUGCAGCUUCAACAGAUUUAUACCACAAAAAUCCCUGUGUUUAAAUACAAGUCAGUACAAGUAUCUGAUGCAAAGCAUGACAUGUAAAACUAUAUAUGAUUUGUGUUGCAGAUGUGUACAUCAAAGUCCUAUUUCAUUUCUAAGUAACCACUAGCCAUACCCUAUUUUGUUUUUUGGGAUAAAAU
rnacentral:lncRNA from 1 species